rnacentral:lncRNA from 1 species
UGAAGGCGGAAAGUUACACACACAAAGGAAGGAUGAAGAUUUUGUGUCUUCGGAUGACACGUGUACAUGUAUUCCAACUCUGACUCAGUCACUUCUUCAGAAGCUGCAGCUGCUUUCUGCGGGGAUGUUGGAGGUUGAAUUUGUGUCUGUGUAAACUGGCUGUGGGUGUGAUCCCUGAGACCCACCGGAGCGUGUACAUCUCUGCCACACUACUCCCACCAAAUGCUGCACAGGAAGUUAUAGAAACAUCCCAGUAGCCACCCUGCUCUGCUCCAGGAAAGG